GACAGAGGGUGCAAACGUUGUUCGGAAUUACUGGGCGUAAAGCGUGCGUAGGUGGUUUGUUAAGUCCGAUGUGAAAGCCCUGGGCUCAACCUGGGAAUGGCAUUGGAUACUGGCAGGCUAGAGUGCGGUAGAGGGCAGUGGAAUUCCCGGUGUAGCAGUGAAAUGCGUAGAGAUCGGGAGGAACAUCUGUGGCGAAGGCGACUGCCUGGACCAGCACUGACACUGAGGCACGAAAGCGUGGGGAGCAAACAGG
rnacentral:rRNA from 1 species